CUUUGUUCCUCCAAGUCCUUCUGCAAUGAUGUUCCUGCCAUGGAGCAGCCGACUGUGGACUGAAUCCUGAGGAAACAGAAGCCAGAAUAAACCCUCUGGCUUUAAAAUGCUGGUGCCAGGCAUUUUGUCCUAGUGAUGAAAAGGGUGAUGGAUGAUGAUGUCUUCUCAUUGCUUCAGUCAGCACUGUGCCCGAGCACUGGUGCCCAUCUGGGCCUGGGUUGGGCCUGGGUAUGGCACUGAAGGAAAGCUAAGGACUCUGCCCUCUUGGAGAGCCAGUCUGCAGGCAGAGGUGCACAGGAUCUCCAAGCAAAAGCUCCAGGAUGGAAGAGCAAGUGCUCUGGGAUAGUGCCAGCCACACGCUAUGUGGAAGGCUGGGGACACUGGGUGUGGUCUGAGGUCUCCCUGCUGCAUCACAGUGACAACACGAAGCCAGCCCUGGGAAAACCUGGGAGAAGUGUGGCGUGGAGGCCCAGCCCUGCAGAGCCUGGGGCUGAAGUGAGUUUGGCCAGAGGGAAGUUGGAAGGAGGAUCAGAUCUCAAACCAACUGCACUGGGAAAGCCAGAUCUAGCAGCAGCCUCUGAACUAUGGGAGGUUCCAGCACUCAGUCUGGAGCAAGACUCAGCUCCAGUACCUCCUCCAGUGCCAACUAUAGUGAUUGACCCAGCUCUAGUACCUACUCCAGAAUUCAGUUCUGCUCAAUCAUUCACUCUGGAGCUGAAGACAGCCCUCUUUGUUUGGAGAGUGUAUUUUUCCUGGAUGUUCUUCACCUAUGCUGUCCUUCCUGGUGGCCAUGAAGGAGCAGCCUUCUUCCACCAGGCCCUUUCACCAUGACGUUUCUGCCUUGGAGCCUGCUGACCAUGGACGGACUCCUUUGGAACCAUGAGCCAAAGUAAACCCUCUAUUAGGUUGUGUAUGUCAGGUAUUUUAUCCCAGUUGACUAAAACCUAAUGAACACAGCCCCCUAAAGCAAAGGAAAAUGGAAACUACAGGGUGAGAAAGAGCUGUCUUUCAGAGCCAUUUUAGAAAUGGUUUCAUAAGCAGAAGUCCAAGGACAAGUUUCUGAGGUCUUUGUGUUUCCUAUAAGACUUUUAAAAUUUUUUAUCA
rnacentral:lncRNA from 1 species